UACGUAGGGUGCAAGCGUUGUCCGGAAUUAUUGGGCGUAAAGAGCUCGUAGGCGGUUUGUCGCGUCUGCUGUGAAAACUCGGGGCUCAACUCCGAGCUUGCAGUGGGUACGGGCAGACUAGAGUGCGGUAGGGGAGACUGGAAUUCCUGGUGUAGCGGUGGAAUGCGCAGAUAUCAGGAGGAACACCGGUGGCGAAGGCGGGUCUCUGGGCCGUAACUGACACUGAGGCACGAAGGCCAGGGGAGCAAACGGG
rnacentral:rRNA from 1 species